rnacentral:sRNA from 1 species
AUGUGGUUGCUCCACUAAUCAAAGUUAAAAUAGAUUUUAACCCGCGGUACACCGCGAGAACAAUUUAUUUUUCAAAGUUAAUAUAUAUAAAAGUUUGUAAAUUGUAUUUAU